GCGACUAGGAUGCUAAUCAUGGUGUUUAUUCCUUUUUUUGCAGCCAAUUUUCCUCUAUCCUGGAACGUGGGCUUACGAGGAACCAUUUGAGAACAUCCUCCGGAAGCUGUACGGCGACGAGUCGGGCUCUACCAGCACAACACGCUAGAGGCCCAGCCGGCACUGGGUGCCCCGAUUGCGCCGCCAGACGGUGUCGAGCGCGCUCGAUUACAACAUUCGGAGCAUGAAUUCAACCCUUCGGAUCUGCAUUAUCCUCUGCCCCACAAUAGCUGCAGCAGCAACAGGACUGAACCGACCGCACUACUGAUUGCGGUCAAAUACUGAUUGCGGUCCUGGCAGGAGAGAAAACCCCACGAGUGUAUCGAACAGGCUGCUGACGAACCCCGAAAAGGCGACAAACAUUCAUCCCCAGCGGCCUACGAUGUUCUUAGUGUUCUGUGGUGUGCGCGACCGUCGAAGUGUUAACAUUAAAAAUUUUAAUUAACAAGAUAAGACUAUUAUGGUGAUGUCGUGUAGAUGUGCGCAAGUGGGUUAACAUUAGACUUAAGUACGCUUUAAGGCAUAAAUCGAUAUGCCUAAUUUUAAGUUAAGUGUUUUGACAUGCCCGUGUGUAUCAAAGGGCGGAAUAAACGCUAAGCAAACUAAGCGGCCGCGUAAGGCGCCGUGGUCUUGAGGGGCCCCAAAAAUGGAACUUACCCCCCACUCGCAAGUAAAAUUGCUACCCAAUCCUUCUCUAGUUUAGAGCAUUUCCCUGCUAGACGCUGCAGCCACACCUACAUUUAUGUGUCUGCUUAGGGUUUCCACUCGUAUGUGCGGUUUUUACACUACAUUUAAGAUAAAUAAAUCUAGAUGAUAUUCUCAUAAA